rnacentral:tRNA from 1 species
UGUCUCAGACAGUAAAGAACCUGCCUGCAAUGCAGGAGACCCAGGUUCGAUCCCUGG